rnacentral:rRNA from 1 species
AUACGGAGGGUGCAAGCGUUGUUCGGAAUUAUUGGGCGUAAAGCGCGCGUAGGCGGUCUGUUAAGUCUGGUGUGAAAGCCCUGGGCUCAACCCAGGAAGUGCAUUGGAUACUGGCAGACUUGAGUAUGGGAGAGGAAAGCGGAAUUCCGAGUGUAGGAGUGAAAUCCGUAGAUAUUCGGAGGAACACCAGUGGCGAAGGCGGCUUUCUGGACCAAUACUGACGCUGAGACGCGAAAGCGUGGGGAGCAAACAGGAUUAGAAACCCUAGUAGUCC